AGAGUUUGAUCAUGGCUCAGGACGAACGCUGGCGGCGUGCCUAACACAUGCAAGUCGAGCGAUGAAACCCUUCGGGGUGGAUUAGCGGCGGACGGGUGAGUAACACGUGGGUAACCUGCCUCAAAGAGGGGAAUAGCCUCCCGAAAGGGAGAUUAAUACCGCAUAAUAUGUUUUAAUCGCAUGAUUGAGACAUCAAAGGAUUUUCUUCGGAAUUUCCACUUUGAGAUGGACCCGCGGCGCAUUAGCUAGUUGGUGAGGUAACGGCCCACCAAGGCAACGAUGCGUAGCCGACCUGAGAGGGUGAUCGGCCACAUUGGAACUGAGACACGGUCCAGACUCCUACGGGAGGCAGCAGUGGGGAAUAUUGCGCAAUGGGGGAAACCCUGACGCAGCAACGCCGCGUGAAUGAUGAAGGCCUUCGGGUUGUAAAGUUCUGUCUUCGGGGACGAUAAUGACGGUACCCGAGGAGGGAGCCACGGCUAACUACGUGCCAGCAGCCGCGGUAAUACGUAGGUGGCAAGCGUUGUCCGGAUUUACUGGGCGUAAAGGAUGCGUAGGCGGACAUUUAAGUCAGAUGUGAAAUACCCGAGCUUAACUUGGGUGCUGCAUUUGAAACUGGGUGUCUAGAGUGCAGGAGAGGUAAGUGGAAUUCCUAGUGUAGCGGUGAAAUGCGUAGAGAUUAGGAAGAACACCAGUGGCGAAGGCGACUUACUGGACUGUAACUGACGCUGAGGCAUGAAAGCGUGGGGAGCAAACAGGAUUAGAUACCCUAGUAGUCC
rnacentral:rRNA from 1 species